AGCAUUCACUACUGUAAGUCACUCUGGAUAAGAGCUUCUGCUAAAUGACUAAAA
rfam:Salmo salar isolate Sally breed double haploid chromosome ssa12, whole genome shotgun sequence.